rnacentral:lncRNA from 1 species
UUUUGCAGGUGUUCUUCUUCGAUAAUGAAUGCAAUAAGAGAUUGGCCAUAACAGAUUGACGCGUCAGGAAGGGGACCCUUCGACUUUCUGCUUAGAAAAUAGAUCUACAAUAAAGUACCAUUCUCUUAAUAUUUACGAUCGUUUGAGUUUCUUCGAUUUACAAUGCCAUACUUGGACGACCAUGACUCAAUGCCUUGAGAGCGGUAAUAUCAACAUACCAUUUAAUGAUCUGAUUUUUGAUAAAAAAUAAAGUUGAAGAAAUA